rnacentral:lncRNA from 10 species
UUAAAUUCCACCAUUUUGCCUCUUAGUGCACAUGCUUGAGCUCUCUCACCAAGCUCCUGGGGUCUUACUGGGAAGCUGCUGAUCAACACUAUCAGGGUUUUUUUUCUAUUUUUUGAAAGACUACCUUUCCCUGGCACUGGCUGUGACGAAUUCUUAUUUUAGAGAGACAAUUUAAUAACUGCCUAACCAUCACCUGAUGGUUACCUGACAUUUCUGGUGGGGAGGCUGUCUCCUGUUUUGUUCAUGUCUGCCUGAAUAUGUACUGUAACAUUAUUACUGGGCAAGUUUAUUUCAAACAAUCAUCUAAUUUUUAUACAAGGACCCUGGAAAUAUUCUGAACUUCAGCACUUUCAUUCAUCAACCCAUGGAUUGAAACUAGCUAAUAUAAGAAACAAAAGGCCUGGUGCAGUGGCUCACGCCUGCAAUCCCAGCACUUUGGGAGGCUGAGGCGGACGAAUCACCAGGUCAAGAGACCGAGACCAUACUGGCCAACAUGGUGAAACCCUGUCUCUACUAAAAAUACAAAAAUUAGCUGGGUGUGGUGGCGGGCGCCUGUAGUACCAGCUACUCGAGAGGCCAAAGCAAGAGAAUCGCUUGAACCCGGGAAGCGGAGGUUGCAGUGAGCCAAGAUCACGCCACUGCACUACAGCCUGGCGAGAGAGCGAGACUCCGUCUCAAAAAAAAAAAAGAAAAAAAAAAAGAAAAAACCCAACAAAACAAAACAAAACAAAACAAAACAAAAAUUAAUGUACUAUUUAGAGUCCACAAAACCUAAGGAAGGUUAUAAGAAUAGGUUCUUGGUUUAGCUUCCGGAAGAGUUCAGGACAUACACUGGAUAUCUUCUCACCUAACGACAAACCCCAAACCAGCGUCUGUUGUGAUCAUGAAACCACUUCUACCACAAAUACCUGGAAUUCAGCUUCUCCUGCAGGCACAUACAUCAAAAUCAGCCUCUUUGAUUUUGUCUAAUUUCUUGUUCUAGGUUCUUAUGUAUUACAGUCAUAUCUGCAUAAUUCUGAAUACUUGACACAAAACUUUGCUGAGAAUCAAAUUCAUAUGAUACAAUUCCCUUCAAAAGAGUUUAGGCUUUGAUCCAUUUUGUGUUGACAUAAAAUAUUACAAAUAUAAAAGUAAAAAGCCAGCAUAUUUUUCACCUUUAAGGUAACAUAUUUUAUGUUUAAUUAGAAAUAUGUCUUCACACUGAAAGUUAAUAACAAUCCUAGAAUAAGAACCAGUGCCAAUUUUUCUAAUGUUCUGAGAUAUGAUUAUCAGAUCCUAUUCAUACAAAUAAAUAUAUCCAUCACAUCAUAUAUGUAUUGUUUGAGAUGAGAGCAUUUAGAGUCUACUUAAACAAUUAGCAAUUGUUAAGCUGACAUUUUUAUCAACUGUAAUCACCAUGCUGUAUAAUAGAUCUCCAAGUCUUAUCUUCCUAACAGAACUUUUGUACAUUUUGACCAACAUCUUCCCAUUCCACCUGCUCUUCCUCAGACCCAAGUACACCCUUCUGCUCUCUGCUUAUAUGAGUUGGACUUUUAUUAGAUUCCACAUAUAAAUAAGAUUAUGCCAUAUUUGUCUUUCUGUGCCUGGCUUAUUUUACUUAGCAUAAUGACACCCAGGUUCAUCCAUGUUGUCACAAAUUAAAAUAUAUAUUUUUCUUUUGCUAAGGCCUAAUAGUAUUCCAUUAUGUAAAUAAACCACAUUUUCUUCAUCCACUUACCUAUUGGUAGACACAUGGGUUGAUUCCAUAUCUUGGCUAAUGUGAAUAAUGCUGAAAUGAACGUGGAAGUGCAGAUCUUCAGCAUAUUGAUUUCAUUACCUUUGGCUCUAUGCCCAGAAGAGAGAAUCCCAAAAUAUAAAGAAAUUUUAUUUUUUAUUUCUGAGAAAAUUAUGUUGCUGUUUUCCAUAACUGCUGUAUUAAUUUACACUGUACCAACAUUGUACAAAAGUUUCCUUUUCUUCACAUUCUCACCAACACUUGUUUUCUUUUGUCUUUUUGAUAAAAGCUAUUCUAACAAAUGUGAGAUGACAUCUCACUGUGAUUUUAAUUUUCAUUUCCCUGAUGAUUAGCGAUGUUGAGCAUUUUUUCAUAUAACUGUGGAACAUUUGUAUGUAUUCUUUGGAGAAGUGUCUAUUCAGGUCAAUUGCCCAUUUUCUAAUUUUCUUAAAUUAUUGAGUUCCUUAUGUAUUUUGAAUAUC